rnacentral:rRNA from 1 species
UAGGGAAUAUUAGAAAUGGACGAAAGUCUGAUCUAGCAACACCGCGUGUUCGAAGAAGGCCUUCGGGUUGUAAAGCACUUUUUGUAAGGAUUAGGAAGGAAUGUACUUCCAGAAUAUGUCUCGGCUAACUACGUGCCAGCAGCCGCGGUAACACGUAGGUGGCAAACGUUAUCCGGAUUUACUGUGCUUAAAGCGCGUGUAGGUGGUUCUGUAAGUAGGUCGUGAAAGGUCCUGGGUCAACUGGGAGAGGCCGUUCUAAACUGCA